rnacentral:rRNA from 1 species
AUAUCAAUAAGCGGAGGAAAAGAAACUAACAAGGAUUCCCCUAGUAACGGCGAGUGAAGCGGGAAGAGCUCAAAUUUAAAAUCUGGCAGUGUAUUCUGUCCGAGUUGUAGUCUAGAGAAGCAUCAUCCGUGCUGGACCAUGUACAAGUCUCUUGGAACAGAGCGUCAUAGAGGGUGAGAAUCCCGUCCUUGACAUGGACUCCCAGUACUUUGUGUUGUGCUCUCAACGAGUCGAGUUGUUUGGGAAUGCAGCUCAAAAUGGGUGGUAAAUUCCAUCUAAAGCUAAAUAUUGGCGAGAGACCGAUAGCGAACAAGUACCGUGAGGGAAAGAUGAAAAGCACUUUGGAGAGAGAGUUAAACAGUACGUGAAAUUGUUGAAAUGGAAACGCUUGAAGUCAGUCGCGUUCUCUGGGAUUCAGCCUUGCUUUUGCUUGGUGCAUUUCCUAGUCUACGGGCCAGCAUGAAUUUUGACCAGUGGAAAAAGGCUUGGGGAAUGUGGCACCUUUGGGUGUGUUAUAGCCCCUUGUCACAUACAUUGGUUGGGAUUGAGGUCUUAGUGCACGCUUCGGUUGUGCUUUGAUGCUGGCGUAAUGGCUUUAAACGACCCGUCUUGAAACACGGACCAAGGAGUCUAACAUGUCUGCAAGUGUUUGGGUGCAAAACCCGAGCGCGUAAUGAAAGUGAUAGUUGGGAACCUCUUUAGAGGGGCACCGACGCCCGGACCAGACCUUCUGUGACGGAUCCGAGGUAGAGCAUAUAUGUUGGGACCCGAAAGAUGGUGAACUAUGCCUGCAUAGGGUGAAGCCAGAGGAAACUCUGGUGGAGGCUCGUAGCGAUUCUGACGUGCAAAUCGAUCGUCAAAUGUGGGUAUAGGGGCGAAAGACUAAUCGAACCAUCUAGUAGCUGGUUCCUGCCGAAU